rnacentral:rRNA from 1 species
UACGGAGGGUGCAAGCGUUAUCCGGAUUCACUGGGUUUAAAGGGUGCGUAGGCGGAUACGUAAGUCCGUGGUGAAAUCUCUGGGCUUAACCCGGAAACUGCCAUGGAUACUAUGUGUCUUGAAUGUUGUUGAGGUGAGCGGAAUAUGUCAUGUAGCGGUGAAAUGCUUAGAUAUGACAUAGAACACCAAUUGCGAAGGCAGCUCACUAAGCAAAUAUUGACGCUGAGGCACGAAAGCGUGGGGAUCAAACAGG